rnacentral:rRNA from 1 species
CCCUUAGAUGUUCUGGGCCGCACGCGCGCUACACUGAUGCAUUCAACGAGCCUAUCCUUGACCGACAGGUCCGGGUAAUCUUUGAAUCUGCAUCGUGACGGGGAUAGAUUAUUGCAAUUAUUAAUCUUCAACGAAGAAUGCCUAGUAGGCGCAAGUCAUCAGCUUGCGUCGAUUACGUCCCUGCCCUUUGUACACACCACCCGUCGCUCCUACCGAUUGGGUGUGCUGGUGAAAUGUUCGGAUCGGCCGUUUGUCGCGGUUUCCGCGUCAUGUGGCUGAGAAGUUCAUUAAACCCUCCCACCUAGAGGAAGGAGAAGUCGUAACA